UUGGAACAGCAACUUGGCCCUGUUGGCUAUGAACAGCCAGUGGACCAAGCACUUGACAUCCAGAAAAUCAUUGAUGCUUCUGCCACCAAUCACAAUAACAGAUGGAUUGUGCUUCUCUGAAAACAUCAAUGAGGCAAACAUUGAAAGAAGACCAGCAUCAAACAGCAGCAGGAAGCCUAGAAGGAGACUCCCAUUUUAUAAUUGCACGUUGAAGGAAAACUCUGAUCUCAAGCCUCCGCUGCCUUGUGGCUACACCCACUCAUGCAUGAGGGAGGCUUCAGGAGAAAACCUCAAUGAAAAGUCCGGAGCUGGAGUCCCGAAGGCAGCCCUGCAUUGAGUUCAAUGCUGACGGGCACCUCCUGUGAAGCUGCUGGUGGCAAACAGUAUCAGUCUCCGCCGUUCGUUUGGAUUCGUCAGCUGUGUGGAGAGAGGGAGCCCACUGCUUGCUCACCGUAUCGUACAGCCCUGGCUCGCAUAUCAACUAUGUAGGCUAUUAUGUUUUGUAACUUCAAAAUAUUGAAGUAAUUCAAAGGAAGACGCAGGAGUC